rnacentral:lncRNA from 1 species
CCCCUCUUUGUUUACAGUCUUUAUUUCACGGUGUUUGAUGGACUUAUACUGGAGUUAGUAACAAGACCCCAGACGCUCCCUCCUGCCUCCCCCUCCCCUGCAGGGGGGCCAGGCUGCCACCCUAGCAGCCUUGGAUGGCCCUUGAACAGUUUGCACAGAGGGCGGGGAGUGGUGAGGAUGGACGCUAUGGUUUAAGGCGUUUCCAGCUCCACUGCCAUCUCUGCCACACCGGCCCCUGGCCUUCGGCUUUGGUCAGGCACCAGGCUGUCCGCUCUCAGAUGAGCACAGCCUCCCUCAUGUGGACCUGGUCUGCAACCUGUACUGCUCUGGGGUCAGGGCAGGACAAAAGGUGUGACCUUCGGGCAUCAAACGAGACCAAUGUUUGAAAACGCGGUGGGUGUCAGGCCCGGACACCCACCCCUGAGGGAAGGAGCCCACGCCACACAGCGGACCCCUCCUUGAGGAGCUCCUCACUGGGCCUGAGUGUAGGAAGGGGGCUACAUCCAGGGUGGGUGGGCCAGGCCGAGUGAGGGUGCCCUAGGGGAGCCUGGCCAUGGACUCUGUUCCCCGGCACCCUGGGGCUAGCAGACACACUGGGGGCGUGGGGCCUGGGCCCAAAAGGAACAUUGUUUCUAAGUCACAGUACUGGCACGGAGGGCCCCGGGCUCCAGGCUAGCCCAGAUGAGGCUCGCCCACAGGACACACAGGCAAGAGCAGUGUAAGUGGGAACCAGAAGGCCCCAGGGGCUUGCUCGGAGGAAGGCCCCAUCCAAUCCAGCUGCUCCCCUGCUCUGGGACAUGGACCUCAUCUGACAAAACAUGGUAACAUGGGGAGUGGAGUCUGCCAACGGGGUCAGGAAUGCCAGGGACCGACAGGUGAACACGCUGGGGACACAGUGCACAGGGCUGUGGCAGAGGGGCAAGUCCUGAGGCUGCCAUACAGCACUGUGGGGCCUGGACACCAGGCCUCUGCAGCACAGCUGCCUGGACAGAAAAGAGGCCAGGUCAGCAGUCCCUCUGGCCAACACACAGGCAAGAAAAUCAUAUUGAAAAGCAACAAGUUUACAAAAAUAAAAAAUAAUUACAGCAGGGUGGGCUGGGGCUUGGGUGCCGGUCAGGGGGUGGGGCAGGGCCGCAGCUCCGGCCUGGCGACUGCAUCUUCCAGCAGGUGCAGCGGGCGCCCACUCACCACCACGUCCCGCAGGCAGCCCACGAAGCCUGUGCUAUAGGCCUUGGGUAGGGCCUGGCCCACGGGCAGCUUCCGAAGCCCCCCUGCAGGACAGACAGAGGGAAAUCACUCAGCUGCUGUGAUGGGCAGAGGGCCAUCGGCGCCUGGGAACAGCGCCCAGCUGCUGUGUCCACGCACGCACUCCUCCUCC